ACAGCCACAUCAUGUUGAAACACUGGCUCCCAUAUGAUCACCGAAGUUAAGCAAUAUCAAGUCUAAUCAGUAUCUAGAUAGGUGACUGCUUGGGAAUAUCAGGUGCUGUAAG